CUUUGCCAGACUUUGUUUGGACUUGAAUAUAAAUGCCUCAGGCUGAUCUAUAAAGAUAAAAAGAAAUGAAUAUCCCCCUGAAAAUGUCAUCCUGAAAGACUUGGCCCUUUUUUCUGAAGAAAAUGCCCUGUUUUUUGUCUAUGUAACAAAAUCUGUUACUGUUUCCUUGAACAGCUUCGGCGCUCUGUGCCUGGAGGAAGGGACAUGAAAUCUGGCAGGGUGUGUCAGGAAUGUGCCUGUCGCUACUUCCACAAAACGCUCAGUUUGCCCAAGCUUUCAGCAUUUGGAAAAUGGCAAUUUGCACGCGCCAAGCAAUUAUAUUUUGAACUUUCUUUUUAAGUCAGCACCACUCAGAUUUAGCUAGCAUGCUUCUGGCAUCGAGCAGACUGCAGAAAUGCCAGCACCACAGCGUGACGGCGCGUGCGUCCCCCGUCCAGGAUGGCAAGGCCAAAAGGACUUCCCAGUUUUAGCCUCCUCUGUGAAGGUGGCACCCCGGCAAGGAGGAAAGCGAAGAGGGAGGCCAAGUGAUGGUGAUACACAGAAAUCCUUUUCAACUCCUCUAUGUGAAGCUCUAUGAGAAAGAACCAGGCAUGAAGAGAAAAGAACACAGGUACAGUCCAGGCACUGAGAUGCCGUGCUGCAGGGGUAUUUCCAUGGCAGAAGAGGGUACACUGAGGGAAAAAAAACCCUCCUCUGAUAUUGAUAAUACAGCACAGAUUGUUAUGAGGCACAGAAACU
rnacentral:lncRNA from 1 species